GGCUUGAUGUUUCUCCGGUAGAUGGAAAUUUUAAUGAGUAAACCUUUUUCUAAAGUUCAAUCUCUAAUUACAUCACCGGGUAGACAUUCAUCCAC
rnacentral:pre_miRNA from 1 species